rnacentral:misc_RNA from 1 species
AACGCAUAUUGCGCCCACUAGUAUUCUAGUGAGCAUGCCUGUUCGAGCGUCAUUUCAACCCUUAAGCCCUGUUGCUUAGUGUUGGGGGCCUACAGAAGCUCUCUGUAGCCUCCUAAAGUUAGUGGCAGAGUUGGCUCACACUCUAGACGUAGUAAUUUAUUUGUUUAUCUCGCCUAUGGAUGAGUCGACUUCUUGCCGUAAAACCCCCUAAUUUUUCAAGGUUGACCUCGGAUCAGGUAGGAAUACCCGCUGAACUUAA